GGUGGAAUGGCUGAGUAAAGGCAAUAAAUUGUAAAUUUAUUAACGAAUAAAAAUUCUUCCAUCA
rnacentral:tRNA from 1 species